CCUACGGGGGGCAGCAGUGAGGAAUAUUGGUCAAUGGGCGCGAGCCUGAACCAGCCAAGUAGCGUGAAGGAUGACUGCCCUACGGGUUGUACACUUCUUUUAUAAAGGAAUAAAGUGAGGCACGUGUGCCUUUUUGUAUGUAAUUUAUGAAUAAGGAUCGGCUAACUCAGUGCCAGCAGCCGCGGUAAUCCGGAGGAUCCGAGCGUUAUCCGGAUUUAUUGGGGUUAAAGGGAGCGUAGAUGGGUUGUUCAGUCAGUUGUGAAAGUUUGCGGCUCAACCGUAAAAUUGCAAUUGAUACUGGCAGUCUUGAGUACAGUUGAGGUAGGCGGAAUUCGUGGUGUAGCGGUGAAAUGCUUAGAUAUCACGAAGAACUCCGAUUGCGAAGGCAGCUUACUAAACUGCCACUGACAUUGAUGCUCGAAAGUGUGGGUAUCAAACAGGAUUAGAUACCCGUGUAGUC
rnacentral:rRNA from 1 species